UCUAUCCCACUCCCUUCCCGCGUCGCACCAUCCGUUAUUGUAACCGGAAAACAAAAUUCGUCAUUCUAAAAUAUUUUGAAAACCCCGCUUCCCAAAAUUAAUAGAGAAUCGUCGGCCUCCUCCUUCGACUACAUAGUUUACUGUUUCUCCGCCCUGUUUUGACCUCGCUCAUCUUUUCACCCCUCCAGUGUGUGAUUAGGGCUUAAGAAAUUCAGCAUCACGCAUUCACGUCGUCCGUCAUCCGUCCUCGUCGUCGGUCGUCGCCUAUUUUCACCGUGCGCAAUUAGGUCUUAGCGAAAGAUUUGAUUCGCAUCCUCUCCGAUCUCACAUAAAAUGUUGUGUAACUUUGCUAAAGGGAGGCGACAUUUGGGGCAAAAUUUGUACCUUCUGUUUUGAUUAAAUCGUUCAAUGGGAACUGUUUUUAACAUUUCUUUCACUGUCAUUCUUCUACAAUUUCAUAUGUUCUUUUUAAUUGAUUCGGUAAAACAAGAUAGGCGAUGGUUCUACAAAAACAACAUGCCUACGCUUCUCAUAUGGUAGCUCAUAGCUCUGUAAAUUCCAUCAGGUUCUUUCUAUUGAUUUUUGAGUUUGUCUCUAUUGAUUGUAUAUGUUUCUUUGAAAUCUGAAUUUUCAUUUUGGAAUUGCUAUCAUCUUUAGGGAGAAAGGUUACAUCUAUGCUUCAGUAUACAUUGAAACUUCAUUGCAAUAUAUAAUCAUCUGUUCUUUUGCUUUGAUUUGAUGAUGGUGAUAAGGAAAGGUUAGUUGAGAAAGACUUGAACAUUAGGAGUCCUUGGGUCAUACAAUGUAUUUCAAACUAUCCUCCAUUAGUCUAAUCGAUCCUAAAGUUUCAAAGGGCUGAUUGAAUGAAUCUUUCUUUCUAAUAGAUCUCUGUAAGUUAUUCCUAGUGAUCAAGUCAUUAUAAUUUCUUGAAAAACAUAAUAGCUCAAGUUGCAAAAAUCUGAUAGUGAUUAAAGUUUCUUAAAUUUCAGUUUUCUUAUAUAGCUUAAGGGUGAAGUGAAGUUGUCGAUUCUGAUUUUAAAAAUCUGAUAUAGAAAAUAUGAUGUGAUUCUAUUUUCUAAAUAAUCUUAUAUGUGUUCUUAAUUUCUCAGUAAUUUGAUAUGUUAUUAUGAUUAUUAUAUAAUCUAAUGUAUCAUAUUUGUGAGGUAAUUAAUUUUCUAAUUAAUCUGAUGUAUGCUAAAGUUCUGAUUGAAAAUCUGAUAUGUGAAUUCUGAUUUUGAAAUAUUGACAUGUGAUUUCUAAUUCGAAAGUCUGAUGUGUUUUUGAUUUCUGAAUAAUAUGAUAUUGUAUUUUCUGAAUAUUUGAUGUAUAUGAAAAUCUGAUAGCUUGUUUUAAAUUCUGAAUAAUCUGAUGUAUUUGAAAACAUAACAGGUUAUUUUUAUUUUCGAAAAUCUGAUGUAUUAAAGUUCUGAAAAUUUGAUGUUAAUUUAAUUUAUGAAAAUCUGAAAUGUUAAUUAUGAUACCAAA